AGUGAACGCUGGCGGUAGGCCUAACACAUGCAAGUCGAACGGCAGCACAGUAAGAGCUUGCUCUUACGGGUGGCGAGUGGCGGACGGGUGAGGAAUACAUCGGAAUCUACUUUUUCGUGGGGGAUAACGUAGGGAAACUUACGCUAAUACCGCAUACUACCUACGGGUGAAAGCAGGGGAUCUUCGGACCUUGCGCGAUUGAAUGAGCCGAUGUCGGAUUAGCUAGUUGGCGGGGUAAAGGCCCACCAAGGCGACGAUCCGUAGCUGGUCUGAGAGGAUGAUCAGCAACACUGGAACGGAGACACGGGCCAGAAUCCUAAGGGAGGCAGCAGUGGGGAAUAUUGGACAAUGGGCGCAAGCCUGAUCCAGCCAUACCGCGUGGGUGAAGAAGGCCUUCGGGUUGUAAAGCCCUUUUGUUGGGAAAGAAAAGCAGAAGGUUAAUACCCCGCUGUUCUGACGGUACCCAAAGAAUAAGCACCGGCUAACUUCGUG
rnacentral:rRNA from 1 species